rnacentral:rRNA from 1 species
GACGAACGCUGGCGGCGUGCUUAACACAUGCAAGUCGAACGGAAAGGCCCUGCUUUUGUGGGGUGCUCGAGUGGCGAACGGGUGAGUAACACGUGAGUAACCUGCCCUUGACUUUGGGAUAACUUCAGGAAACUGGGGCUAAUACCGGCUAGGAGCUCCUGCUGCAUGGUGGGGGUUGGAAAGCUUCGGCGGUUGGGGAUGGACUCGCGGCUUAUCAGCUUGUUGGUGGGGUAGUGGCUUACCAAGGCUUUGACGGGUAGCCGGCCUGAGAGGGUGACCGGCCACAUUGGGACUGAGAUACGGCCCAGACUCCUACGGGAGGCAGCAGUGGGGAAUAUUGCACAAUGGGCGGAAGCCUGAUGCAGCAACGCCGCGUGCGGGAUGACGGCCUUCGGGUUGUAAACCGCUUUCACCUGUGACGAAGCGUGAGUGACGGUAAUGGGUAAAGAAGCACCGGCUAACUACGUG